rnacentral:rRNA from 1 species
AUUGAACGCUGGCGGCAUGCUUCACACAUGCAAGUCGAACGGUAACAGGCCGCAAGGUGCUGACGAGUGGCGAACGGGUGAGUAAUGCAUCGGAACGUGCCCAGUCGUGGGGGAUAACGCAGCGAAAGCUGCGCUAAUACCGCAUACGAUCUAUGGAUGAAAGCGGGGGACCGCAAGGCCUCGCGCGAUUGGAGCGGCCGAUGUCAGAUUAGGUAGUUGGUGGGGUAAAGGCCCACCAAGCCAACGAUCUGUAGCUGGUCUGAGAGGACGACCAGCCACACUGGGACUGAGACACGGCCCAGACUCCUACGGGAGGCAGCAGUGGGGAAUUUUGGACAAUGGGCGCAAGCCUGAUCCAGCAAUGCCGCGUGCAGGAAGAAGGCCUUCGGGUUGUAAACUGCUUUUGUACGGAACGAAACGGUUCUCUCUAAUACAGGGGGCUAAUGACGGUACCGUAAGAAUAAGCACCGGCUAACUACGUGCCAGCAGCCGCAGUAAGAC